rnacentral:sRNA from 2 species
UAUCUCUCCGUACGGGGAAGGAUGAGAAGCUUCGACUAAGGUUCGAUUCGAGCGCAGCGAGAAAACGUUGCCGCAGGCAAC